UUGGACAGCUACCAGGUAUUUUGGUCUUGUGACCAGGAGACAGCCUUUGUUGGACAGCCAAACUAUAGCCCAUAAGCCAUUCUAAUCCAUAUCCAUAUAUACAUAUAUAUGGAUAUACACACACAUACAUAUAUGUACGUAUAUACAUACCUAUGUACAUACAAACACAUACAUACACACACACACACACACAUAUAUAUAUAUAUACACACACACAUACAUAUAUAUAUAUAUAUGUUGCUUCUCAAAAGCAGUGGUUCUCAACCUUCCUAACACUGUGACCCUGUAAUACAGUUCCUCUUGCUGUGGUGACCCCCAACUAUAUUUAAUAUAUUAAAAUUAUUUUUGUUGCUACUUCCUAAUUGCAGUUCUGCUACCAUGAUGAAUCAGAAUGUAAAUAUCUAGUAUGCAGGAUAUCUCUGAUAUGUGACCCCACCCCCCAAAGUGGUCUCCACCCACAGAUUGAAAACUGUGACUAGCCAGGCGGUGGUGGCACACGCCUUUAAUCCCAACACUUGGGAGGCAGAGGGAGGCAAAUUUCUUCGUUCAAGGCCAGCCUGGUCUACAGAGUGAGUUCCAGGACAGCCAGGGUUAUACAGAGAAACCCUGUCUCAAAAAACCAAAAAAAAAAAAAAAAAAAAAAAAAAAAAAGAAAGAAAAAAGAAAGAAAAGAAAGGAGACAAUUGUGACUAAUAAUGAACCCUGACUAAUAGGGGCUGUCACUGUGCAGGAUUCAGGCAACUUCCUGCCAGUCUUUGUACUUGCCACAGUUGUAUAACACAAUGGCUUGUAUCGAGCCAAGGCUCAGAGAGGUUAAUUCACUUGCCCAAGUCACAGAGCCUGCACAUAGCAAAAAUAGGAUUUGAGUAUGGGUCUAUUAAAGCCUGACCCAUUGGAGGACAAAACAUGCAUUUAGGAGUGAGAAACCAUGCUUGGGGCCUGGAGAGAUGACUCAGUGGGCAAAACCACUUGCUCUGAAGGUUCAAGGUCCUGAGUUUGAAUCCCCUGGCCCCCACAUAAUGAGACCUGGUCAUGCAUUUCUGUAAUCAUUCUCAGUACUAAGGGUCAGAGAUGGGUGAAUCCCGAGAGCUCUCUGACCAGCCAGCCUAGAUGAAGUCUUGAAUUACACACACGCGCGCUCGCGCGCGCACGCGCACACACACACACACAGGAGACAUACUACACAUGCAGAGAUGACAUGUAAAAGACUAACCUUGAGUUAAAGAGAAAUGCUGGAUGUGUAUAGUAACUGCCUAGCCCAGUGGGAGGCCCUGGGGUUCAUUCCCAGCACCCAAAGAUAAAACCACAAAGAGACAGCAAAAGGAGGACACUGGCCCUCAAAGGGCUGCCCACUCUCUGGAGGAUGCAAAGCCUUCUGGGACCCUGCCAACCACUCUCAUUAAGUGACCUCUGACUUGGUCUCAGCUUUUAUUAUUCUGGGACAUUAAAAUCAGUUUAAGGUGACCCAGAUUUGGAGCAGGGCGCGUCAAGGCAAUGUGGGAUGACAACUGAGUCUCAGUGACCUCUGCAUGAAAUCAAAGAUGUUCCCCAGUGCCGCCCCACCAUUCCCCAGCCAACGCCGCCGCUACCAACCCCGCUGGGACUGAUUAUUAGCGGGUGUGCAUGAGUGAAUUUCGGGGUCACAGUGGCUAAUCGGAUCCAGCCAGGCUGAGGCAGGUGACCCGAGCUCUUGGAUAAGGAGAUUAAUCUAAAUCUGUCAGAGAAGGCAUCUUCUCAGGGCGGCUUGGGAGCCAGGAAGCUGAGCUUGAGAGCCCCUCUUCACGUACACAGCUUCUGUGGCAUGUGCAAAUCCAUCACUGAGGCCAAGCCCCUACACUAUGGGUCGGGAAACCCCGAUUGCAAAGCACCUCGGGGAAGGAGCAGGGAAGCAGGGUAUGUGUAUGCGUGUGUGUGUGUUGAACUGGGCCACCUUCUGAUCCAUGCCAGCUGAUGGUCUUUGAACAGAGCCUGGUCCAGUCUGGGUUGGGGACCAUGGCUUUGCCUGGUGGUCUGUGUGAUGUCAUUGCCCUAUGCUGAGCCUGAGUUGGCCAACUCCACCUUGGCUCUGAUGUUUUAUGCACUUUGUGUUUUCAGCUUUCUCAGCCCUGUAAAGUCAAUGGUCAGCAUGGUUGGCUGACUCCCGUUUCCCUACCAAGAUAAUGGCUGACAUCCCUAGGACUGCAAGCAGAAUCAGAUGUUUCACCAGGCUCUGGCACUGCCCACAAAGGGGUCACUGGGUGGUGGUACAAGCAGCCGGGAGGCCUCAGAUCUUUCUAGAAUUAUUUGGUUGUUCCACCCACGAUCAUGUAACCCAAGAGUCUCCUUUGAGCUAUGGGUGGCACACACAUGCCCAGUACUGAUGAGUCCUUGGAAAGAGCCACAAAUACACCUUUUUCCUCACGGCCAACUCGACUUGGCCCUUAAUUCGACUUUUCCCAACUUCUUGGCUACUUCCUGAGGUGGGUCAUGGUCACCAUAUUUUCAGGAGAGAAACUGAGGCUCAGGCAUGGGAAGUGGGUACCAAGCUGUAGAACCCCAGGAGGGCAGGGACACAAAGGAUGGAAUGGUCAACAGAGUCUUCAGGAACCGGAAGUCUGGAAGUAGAAGCUUCCAGGUUCCACUUGUCACCAAGCCCCGAGUCCUUUGCUCGAUUUUGCUUCCUCUGCUUGACGUGUGGUCCAGGUUUCUCUGCAUGGUUCCAAGAAGGCUGCCAUAGCUCCAGACAUCACAGCCAGAAUCCAUACUAGAAAGAAAGGCGGACCAGUUACUGAUGAUGUCCAUGGACUCAAUCAUGUCACAGUGGCUGCAAACAACCACACGUUAUUGGAUUUUUAGUCUUUCUGAUGCUGUGAGUUUAGCUAUUUAUUCUGUCCCAUGGGCAUUGGCUGGGGCUAUUUGCUAAACAGCUGUGCUGUGCUGGGGCUGGGAGGUUGAAGGAGGCUUAGUUUUGCACACAUGUCUAAGGCCUCAUGUGGCUUCUCUGGUUGUCUACCAGGAGUUUCCUCACAGGUGGCCUUAUGGCCAUUUUUCAUGGCAACUGGCCUCUCCUCUCUAAGCCCUAGCCAGAAACUGCCCCAGUAUUCCCCACACCACAAAAAGGUAUCUACACAGUUCUGACUCCAGGGGAGAGAGUCCCUUUUCUCUCUUGGUAGGACUGUGGGUUUGCAGCGAAAGCUUAACUUAGUAGGUCUGCCUUGUCCAAACCCUGAACAUUCCAAAGGAAGGCAUGUCCCUGCCGAGUCUCCUGGAAGAUAACCUCCCAGUCCCCAGACAAACAUUGUGAGGGCCUCCGGCCUUGUAUUUGAGCUGGGUCUCUAUUGUAGGUGAGACCCAGUGACUAAGAUUGGUAGUCUAUGCCCAUGUGACCAACUCUCAAUAAACAUCAUAGAUGCCAAGGUCAGGUGGCAUUUUCUGUCAGCAAUUUGUGUCUCAUGACAAAGCCUUGUGAACUCAGCUCUCGGCCCAUUGUCUCCCGGACUCUGACCCUUGUCUUUAAUCUUGCAGCGUUUAGUCUGAGCCUUGCCACCAUGAUAAGCCAUGGGCAGCUUCUAGGUGUUCCUUCAGUCUUUUCUGAUGGUUUGCUGAGCACAGCUGGUUCCAGUCACCUUCUUCGGAGGUGGUCUACAAUCAAAAAAGUGAUAGCAGGAGAUUCUAGCCUUCUCAGGGUGCUCCUCCCGCCAGGACACAUCCCCCAGGCUUCUCUCCAAGCCUCCCUUGCCUGGACGCUUGCCCAGCUUUGCUAUCUUAGGCUGGGUGCGGCUAAAUGGUCACAGUAAUCUACUCCCAGGACUGAACAUUCUCAGCAGGAGCUGGUGAGAAAGAUAAGCCGGAGGUUUUGAACGUGAUACCAAGAGAGAGUUAGCUUUCCCAGAGGAGGAGACCAAGGCCAAGAGAUGUCAAGAGCUAUGUCCAAAGUCUCACAGUGGAUGGUAGCCCAGGUCUGUGUGACUCAAGGACCCAGACAUUCAGGCAGUGAUGAGGAUGGGAAGACUCUGUGGAAGUAGGCCGGGCCACCAGAGUGUGUCACAGGCGGCCAUAGAAGGGAGGGGACACGGCUGAUGGCAUUCUCAGAGUUCUCUACAUUCUUAGAGGGCUGGAGAGAAAAAAAUCUUUCUCCUCUAUGAAGAGAAGCUGACAUUGACCUGAAAAAAUGUUUAUGUCACAUUUAUUUAUUGAUCGGGGCAGCAGCAAGCGUAUGUCACAGCACACGUGUGGAGGUCAGAGGACAGCAUUCUGGAAUCCAUUCACUCUCUCUGCCUCGCCCAGCAAUUGAACUCAGGCUUGGCAGCAGGUGCCUUUACUGGGUGAAUCUCACCAGCCUGGCAUUGGCUUUGGAAAAUAAUACAAGGGCUAGCUAGGGCUGAGGGGCCUGGGUUUGAUGGCAGCACGUGUGUAAGAAGCCAGGUGUGCCCUGGUGCUCCGGAGUGGGUGGGUAGCAAGAGGCUCGAAGGAGCCUGAUGGCCAGCCAGCCCCAGGUCUCAGAGGAAGAAAAAAAUGUCUUAAAAAGCAAGGUAUGGGAUUAGAGCUUUAGCUCAGUGGUAGGGUGCAUGCCCUAAGCCCCUGGGUUCAGUUUUUUGCUGGGGGGGGGGAGGA
rnacentral:lncRNA from 1 species